UACGUAGGGUGCGAGCGUUUAAUCGGAAUUACUGGGCGUAAAGGGUGCGCAGGCGGCGUCGCAAGUCAGGCGUGAAAUCCCCGGGCUUAACCUGGGAACUGCACUUGAAACUACGAUGCUGGAGUAUGGCAGAGGGAGGUGGAAUUCCGACGUGUAGCGGUGAAAUGCGUAGAGAUGUGGAGGAACACCGAUGGCGAAGGCAGCCUCCUGGGCCAAUACUGACGCUCAUGCACGAAAGCGUGGGGAGCAAACAGG
rnacentral:rRNA from 1 species